rnacentral:misc_RNA from 1 species
CUUCUGUAGGGUACUCUGUCAGUACCGUAAAUUUGCUAUGGGAGGUGGUGAAGAGGCAGAGGUGGAAGUGGAGGAGAUUCAGCCGGCAAGACCUAGACGCCCACUGCGCUCCUAGCUUUAAAGAUUUGAUUGAUUUUGUAGAUAGGAAAGAAACAGAGAUUAAGGAGAUGCUUAGACGAAAGAGUAGCGGUAGCAAGAGACAACCUAGCCC